rnacentral:rRNA from 1 species
CGAAGCGUGCGAUUGGAUUGCACGUCUAAGCAGUAAGGCUGAGUAUUAGGCAAAUCCGGUACUCGUUAAGGCUGAGCUGUGAUGGGGAGAAGACAUUGUGUCUUCGAGUCGUUGAUUUCACACUGCCGAGAAAAGCCUCUAGAUAGAAAAUAGGUGCCCGUACCGCAAACCGACACAGGUAGUCAAGAUGAGAAUUCUAAGGUGAGCGAGCGAACUCUCGUUAAGGAACUCGGCAAAAUGACCCCGUAACUUCGGGAGAAGGGGUGCUCUUUAGGGUUAACGCCCAGAAGAGCCGCAGUGAAUAGGCCCAAGCGACUGUUUAUCAAAAACACAGGUCUCUGCUAAACCGUAAGGUGAUGUAUAGGGGCUGACGCCUGCCCGGUGCUGGAAGGUUAAGAGGAGUGGUUAGCUUCUGCGAAGCUACGAAUCGAAGCCCCAGUAAACGGCGGCCGUAACUAUAACGGUCCUAAGGUAGCGAAAUUCCUUGUCGGGUAAGUUCCGACCCGCACGAAAGGCGUAACGAUUUGGGCACUGUCUCAACGAGAGACUCGGUGAAAUCAUAGUACCUGUGAAGAUGCAGGUUACCCGCGACAGGACGGAAAGACCCCGUGGAGCUUUACUGUAGCCUGAUAUUGAAAUUCGGCACAGCUUGUACAGGAUAGGUA